ACUUCAUUUUGCCACACUCUGGCUUGUAAUUAUCUCAUAAUGUCUGCACAUGCUCAGGAGGAAAGUUAAUGAGAUUUCCAUUGUUUGAAAUUUUAACAGGGUUUCUAAUGGGGAAAUGGGAAGGGAGAAGUUUUCUAUUAGGUAAAAAAUAGUGCUAUUCUCAAAUGGAUUCUCCCGUUUGCAUGGACAAGGAAAACUUCAAUUUUUGAUGCCUCCCAUGACACCCCAGGAAUAAUCUAAAAUUUCCUAUACUCUAAGGAAAGUUCAGUAAAGGUUUUAAGUAAAUACUUUAUUUCUAAUCAAAACUUUCUUUCUGAACAUUUGCCCUCGCAUUAUUCAUUUAUUCACCCAAGAAAUUAUUUGGAAGCUCUAAGGUCUCAUUGUUCCUCACAGCAUUUAUCUUAUCAAAGGUUAAAACUUGGAUUGCAAUCUUAGAGGAAAAUUAAUUCAGUGAUUAAGAAAAAUGCACUUUAAGCAAUACACAUUUAAAUAACUGACAAGCAUGGGGCAACGUAUUUCUGAAUUUUUUUUUUUUAGAAAAACACUUUUUUCUACUUAAAAUUUUAAGCAGCUGCAAUUCUUCUACCCUAUAGCCUGGAGAAACAGCAUGAAUUACUAAUAAGGGAGCACCAAUCUGCAGUGCAGUGACCACUUUCAGAACAAAAGGGUAAAAGCUAAAACCAGAAAAAUAGAUUUUUUUCAAUCUACUAGUUGCUUAAAGCGUAUUUGGACCUUGGCUGUACUUGAGAACAUUUUGCAAUAUUCUACCAUUCUUGAGCAGAAGGCACUUGGCCCCAGAGACUACACUUUCAAAUAAAGAAAUGUUCAUUUAUGUACUACCUUCAAUACUUGACAAAAUGUUUCCAUCCUCUACGUUGGAACUCAGGAUCCCAUUAACUUAUGAAAUAUAUAUUUAAGAUUUAAGUUUUAUUUUACUGACCUUUUGCUUAAAUAGCUUUACCAGCAUCAGUAUUAGAAAGGAGGAGAAUACAAACAGCGCAAUAAUAGAGAUGCUUUUAAGGAAGGAAAGGACUUCUGAAGACUCAUGCCUGGAUUGUGCAUCUGCCCCAGAGCAGAAUGGAACAGGGAAUUUCCCCCUGCCCUGGUAACUGGAAGAAAUGACACAUCAAAAUGUUUGCUCAGUGCCUGACAGAGACCCAGCAACAUCUGUUCUUGUGCAUUUUAAUGAUCAUGCCUCCAGUUUCAUGAUAUUUUCCUGGAAGGAAAAUAAAUUCCAGGAUACGAAAAAAGCAUAUCCUAAGGCAGAAGUAUUUUACUAGUUAAAACAGCAUAGCAAUACAAUGACAACCUCAUCUCCAGAAGGGAUUUCUUGACAAACUGAUAUAACUCAACUUUGGACUUGGUUUCAGCUUUGUCCAUUCAAAUAAGUAAUUAGUGGAUUAAA
rnacentral:antisense_RNA from 1 species